ensembl:lncRNA
CUUGUGUCCAUGUUAGCUGACAAGGCCCGUGGUUCUGGUGCAGCCACAGAGAGGGUGGGAAACAUGGCUUCUGUGUGUAAGAAGAAGAAAUGGGACUUCUGGAAGUGCCAUGCUGUAGACAUGACUUCCUCCCCAUCCGUUCCCCAUAAAACCAUCAAAGUAUGAAGUUCUGCAGACCUUAGCUGCUCUCCCUGUUCCAGUUACGGGCAGCCCCUUCACCUCCCCCCUGCACUUCCCUUAUCACUAAACAAAUGUGCUGCAGUUCAGUUACCAGGCAGUCCUUUUCUCCCACAAGGAGGAAGGCUCCACCUGGCCUCAGCUUUUUGUAUCUCUUUGUCUGUCUUUUCUUUUCUUUUUUGGUACCAGGGAUCAAACUCAGGUCCUUGUGCUUGCUGGGCAGGUGGCAGAACCACUGAGCUAAAUCCCCAGCCCUGAAUGUCUUUUCUUCAUUCCUCACUGUUCUCCCUCCAAGGAUCUUCGAGCUGAGCAGGACACAGCAGUUGGCACCUGAAACAGGCAGACUAUGAGACAAAUAACAUUUUCAGACUUCUGAUAAUAACUAUAACACAAGAUUACGCUACUUUUUUUUUUACUAGCUUUUUAUAAAAGAUUACACUUACAGUCCAGAGCCCAGCACUGAAAAGAUAACUGGGCUAAAAAGACAGGCAAUAUUUUGGAUCUGGGCCUCCAAAGUCAAGAAAGAUCCAGGACAUGAGGGAACCUUUUCUACAAAUCCUACAUUUUUGGUUCCUUUGCCAGUUUUUGUAUUUGUACUGGUGGACAAGAUGCCACUGUUCCAUGCUUAAAAAUGUAAUCUUUCACUGUGCUGAGAAUUGAACCAUCCCACCGAGCAGACAAGCAAGGCCCAUCAACCAGUCAAAGCAUUCUGGAAUGGAAAUCUCACCUUCUCAGACUAAGUCCCCGGCAGUGUUAACUCCGUGCUGUACGAGCUUCUGGCUGUCACCUAGUGCUUUAAUGUUGUCCUGGUCAUUGGUGUCCACCUCUUGCAAAAGGGUCACCAGUUCCUCACCCAAGAGCUUCUGGAGGGCCCCUGUAAGUCACUGCAGUGCUGUUUGAGGAUGCCAUCUGUGACGCACUCUCUUCAGUCUGCCUCUGUGCCUCCUGCAGCCGCUGCUCCCACUCCACCUGUAGCUCUGUCACCCCCGUGUCCUGCACCAGCAGCUUGGGCUCCAGCCUCAGGCUCCCCCCAUUCAGCCAGGCAGCCAGUGGCUGAGGGCACAGGUUACCCCUCUCCCUUUAAUGACUUGUAAGGAACAUCUUGAGUUAUUUCCCUAUUGGUGGCUCAAGGGCUUAUAUCUAUUAGUUUAUCAGAAUCUACUUCAGAUUUAUACCAAUUUAAUUCCAAUGAGAAAACUUUAUUUCUGUGUGGCUGUAUUUUAUUCUUCAUUUUUGGGGGUGCUAUUCUCGACAUACAUGAUAUGGAUUGAGUAUCCCUAAUCUGUUAAUCUGAAAUGCUCUGAAUUUGAUUCUUUUUAAACAUUGACUUUUUAAAAAGUUCUAAUUAUUUUUCCCUUUGGAGACAACGUCUUGCAAAGUCAGUAAGUUGCCUGGGCUAGGCUUGAACUUGUGAUCUUCCCGCUUCAGCCUCCCAGAGUCCUGAGAUUAGGCAUGUACCACCGCUACACCCAGCUAGCACUGACAUUUUGUUAUUGAUGUUUCUUUUUUUCUUUUCUCUUCUCUUUUCUUUCCUUUUCUUCUCCCCUCCCUUCCCCCUCCUCCCUUUCUUUUUGUGAUACUACAGAUUGACCCAAGGGUGUGCUAAGAUGGACUUUUUAGUUUUUAAAAUUUUGAACCAGAGUCUCACUAAAUUGCUUAGGC